GAAUGUUCGUUUUUCCUUAACAAGUCCACUGAAAUUUUAACAUUUCAGUUUCGACCCCGUUUGGUCACUGUGAACUGUCCCGAACUGUAAUCUUUAUCAGAUAACUUCCAGAUGCUAUUUCUCUCUCUACAGGUGUCAGAAAAAUCUGAAACUUCAAAUCUAGCCUCAUAAUAAUGUUCCUGACAUCUCUGCCAAUUUUCGUAAUUUUCUGACACUGUGCAUUUUCUGCUAAUUUUCUCAGUCCCGUUCUUUACAGAAAAUUCUACAUUUUCCGUUUUCACUCCGAUUUCUUCCAAACACUUCCAAAAUAUACCAAGGGACCUUCACAAGCUACCAAGUCAAUUUGGAAGCAAUUCCUUUUUCAUUUUGACAUUAUUGGAGCCGAAUCAGCAAUAGAAGCAGCUCAUAUUGCACUUUCUCCUUUUUUUUUUGCACUACCACUUCACACUGAGCUCUUCAAAACCCUUUGAAAACACACCCGUGGCUCUACCAACACUUCACAAUUGCUUCGGAGAUACCACAAUUUAUCCUCACGCCUUACUUUAAUUCUUUUAAUCAAAGUUAGCGUCGGAAAUCCGAAAAUUCUCUUUAUAUUUCGUUUCGCGCCCAAUUUGCGCCGAAACACUUAUUUAUCUCCAGAAUUCAUUCACACGCAUCACAAUUCACUCGAGGAU
rnacentral:lncRNA from 1 species